UACGGGGGGGGCAAGCGUUGUUCGGAAUUACUGGGCGUAAAGGGCUCGUAGGCGGCCAACUAAGUCGGACGUGAAAUCCCCAGGCUCAACCUGGGAACUGCGUCUGAUACUGGAUGGCUUGAAUCCGGGAGAGGGAUGCAGAAUUCCAGGUGUAGCGGUGAAAUGCGUAGAUAUCGAGAGGAACACCUGCGGCGAAGGCGGGUUGCUGGGCUGACACUGACGCUGAAGCGCGAAAGCCAGGGGAGCAAACGGG
rnacentral:rRNA from 1 species